GACGAACGCUGGCGGCGUGCCUAAUACAUGCAAGUUGAGCGCUGAAGGUUGGUCCUUGUACCACCUGGAUGAGCAGCGAACGGGUGAGUAACGCGUGGGGAACCUGCCUUUGAGCGGGGGACAACAUUGGGAAACGAAUGCUAAUACCGCAUAAAAACUUUAAACACAAGUUUUAAGUUUGAAAGAUGCAAUUGCAUCACUCAAAGAUGAUCCCGCGUUGUAUUAGCUAGUUGGUGAGGUAAAGGCUCACCAAGGCGAUGAUACAUAGCCGACCUGAGAGGGUGAUCGGCCACCUUGGGACUGAGACCCGGCCCAAACUCCUACGGGAGGCAGCAGUAGGGAAUCUUCGGCAAUGGACGAAAGUCUGACCGAGCAACGCCGCGUGAGUGAAGAAGGUUUUCGGAUCGUAAAACUCUGUUGGUAGAGAAGAACGUUGGUGAGAGUGGAAAGCGCAUCAAGUGACGGUAACUACCCAGAAAGGGACGGCUAACUACGUG
rnacentral:rRNA from 1 species